UACGUAGGGUGCAAGCGUUGUCCGGAAUUAUUUGGGCGUAAAGAGCUCGUAGGCGGUUUGUCGCGUCUGCUGUGAAAACUCGGGGCUUAACCCCGGGCCUGCAGUGGGUACGGGCAGGCUAGAGUGCGGGAGAGGAGAGUGGAAUUCCUGGUGUAGCGGUGAAAUGCGCAGAUAUCAGGAAGAACACCCGUGGCGAAGGCGGCUCUCUGGAACGCAACUGACGCUGAGACGCGAAAGCGUGGGGAGCAAACAGG
rnacentral:rRNA from 1 species